rnacentral:lncRNA from 1 species
GGCGGCUGAUUUAAUUGGACCUCACAAAAUGUCCUACUUCUCCCUCAGCCCGUAGAGACUGGCCCUUCCGAGGUUCACCCUCCAGCAGGUGUGAACACAGCGGCCUGAAAGGACAAGGGAAGAGGACUGGUGUUAGGACCCAAAGAGAAGAUCUGCAUGUAAGGAACGUGGUACCAGGAGCUAAGGCUGGACUUCGUUUUAUGAUUAACUUGCCCUCUGAAUGAAAUCAGCAACUGGAAAAAUGCCAACUUGUUCAGAAGCCAUGUCACCCUGGCGACAUUCACAAUUCUCCUGGGCAAAUAGCCACUCCUCUUGUAGCAAUAACCAAUCCGGUCUUAAGGGUAAAGUACCUAAUGUCUAAAGUAGAUUGAUUAAGCUAGCAACCAUUGUUCAUACCAAGCUGAAAUCAUUACUAUCCAAUAGAAAUGUGCCAAUUAAAUAUCAACCAAUCAUGUAACUGCCAAGUUGGAAAGUCUCUCAUCCUGUUACCAUGAUAAUUAAGCAAAGCUUGUACCAACUCCUUGCACCUUUCAUACCUUCUGUUCUGGAGAAGUUGGAGGGUCUGAGCUGGAGCUUAAAUAAAGACUCUUUGAUUUUGCAUAUG